rnacentral:rRNA from 1 species
AGAGUGAACGCUGGCGGCAGGCCUAAUACAUGCAAGUCGAACGGCAGCACGGCAGAGCUUGCUCUGUGGGUGGCGAGUGGCGGACGGGUGAGGAAUACAUGGGAAUCUGCCCAGUCGUGGGGGAUAACGUAGGGAAACUUACGCUAAUACCGCAUGCGCCCUUGGGGGAAAGCCGGGGACCUUCGGGCCUGGCGCGAUUGGAUGAGCCCAUGUCGGAUUAGCUAGUUGGCGGGGUAACGCCCACAAGGCGACGAUCCGUAGCUGGUCUGAGAGGAUGAUCAGCCACACUGGAACUGAGACACGGUCCAGACUCCGUACGGGAGCAGCAAGUAGGGAAUAGUGGACAAGUGGGCACGAAGCCUAGACUCCGAGCCAGUCGCCGGCGUGAGUGGAAAGAACGGUCCUUUACGGGUUAUAAACGUCUUCGUUUUUACGAACCGGUAAAAGUAAAGUCCGUUUACCGGUAC